UCAAACUGGAUCCACCUCCUACUAGGAUGCCCUUCUCCAAGACCGGUGGGCAGCUGAGGGUGAGGGUGCCACGGCCACAGUGCCACGGCCUGGAGCAGCCACCACAGCAUGAGGCUCGCUUCUGGAGGGUGGGGGACAGCAGCUGGACACAGGUGACAUGUGAGACAGUGAUGGUGACAGCUGAAGAAGACUCAGGUUGGUUUAUCCUGUGGGCUUGUUGGGGACAAGCAUCUCCUGGGGGUGCUCCCCAGCCAGGAGCCUGUGAUGGCCAAAAAUUGGGGAAAGGAGGGGUCACCCCCAGCUGACCCUGCCACCCCUCCCUAGUGACCUGUGCCCUGGGGGUCAACGGCACCUUCGUGGUCCAGCUCCGGCACAAGCCUCCCCACUGGAGCAGCUACUGGAGUGACUGGAGCAGCAACAUCUCUGUUCCUGAGGGUGAGGAAGAGGAGAGGAGCCUGGUGAGAUCCCAACAGCUCCCAAAAAUGUUGGUGGCUCAGUCAGGCCUGUUCCUCCUGCAGAAAUCCUGAGGAAGCCGGUGCUGAGCCAUCAACUGGGCAAAUUGGGGAGAGAUGGGCAGCGGGUGCUGAGGCUGAGCUGGCAGGUACAGUGGCAUCUCUGGGGCCUUCCUGGGUGUUCCCUGCCAUUUCAUCCCCCGAGUCACCCCCUUUUCCUCCCCAGCCUGUCCUCAAGGAGCAAAGGGAUGUCACCUACCGGCUGGACGUCAACAUGUUGGCGUGUGGCUGUGCAGAGUCAGACGAGGAGGACAGGGUGGUGCUGGGCGGGGAGGUGACAGAGCACAACCUCACCCUGUCCGGGGCUGAAUACGAAAUCCUGCUGAGCGCCGUCAAUGCCGCGGGGCCGGGGCCGGCCCGGCAGCUCCGUGUGCCGGCAGAGCAGCACGCAGGUACCCGCCCCUCUAGAACUGCUGAGCUCCCUGGCAGCCCUCAGGGCGUUAUUGUUUCCAGCUACCCCGAACGUCCCCCGUUUCAUCCCAGAUCUCGGCUUCAAGGAGAUCAGCGUGGCCGGCAGCGCCGUGACCGCGCAGUGGGAAGCGCCGGUGCCCGGCGAUGCCUUCUGCUUCGAGCAGCAGACUCUGCCAGAGCCUCCGAAACAGGGAGUCUGCACCCAGCAGGAAUUCCCUGCCAACAGCAUCCACGUGCAGAGAGGCAAGGGAGCACCCCAAAACCCCGCUGUGCCCCCACCCGCGGUCAGAGGGUCUGACCAGCACCCCCGUUCCUCCCCAGGCGAGCUGGGAGCGCCGGGCUGUCACCGCCUCGCCGUGCACGGCUGGGACGCGGAGCGGGGCUGGGCCACCUUCGCCCUGUGGCACCGCUACGCCAGCAACGAUUCGCUGGACGUGCCCUUCACCAUCAGCACCGGGGAGGCCGCGGUUGUCCUGCGGUGGGAGCCGUCCCCACGCGCCGCCUGCCCCGGCGCGCUGGCCAAGUACCUCGUGUGCCACGUGGCCGAGGGGGACACCGUGACCUACAGUGAAGUGGAUGCCACAGCAACAAACUACACCCUCCAAAACCUCCAGCCUGGCACAGGCUACAGGGUGGGUGUUUGGGAGGUGACAGAGGACAGCGAGAGGACCUGUAGUGCUUGGUGGCCCUUCCAGACCAAGGCACUGGGUAAUGGCUGAGACCCCGUGCCCUCCCCACUCCCCAUGGGGUGCUCUC
ensembl:lncRNA